GAUGAACGCUGGCGGCGUGCCUAAUACAUGCAAGUCGAGCGAACGGACGAGAAGCUUGCUUCUCUGAUGUUAGCGGCGGACGGGUGAGUAACACGUGGAUAACCUACCUAUAAUACUGGGAUAACUUCGGGAAACCGGAGCUAAUACCGGAUAAUAUUUUGAACCGCAUGGUUCAAAAGUGAAAGACGGUCUUGCUGUCACUUAUAGAUGGAUCCGCGCUGCAUUAGCUAGUUGGUAAGGUAACGGCUUACCAAGGCAACGAUGCAUAGCCGACCUGAGAGGGUGAUCGGCCACACUGGAACUGAGACACGGUCCAGACUCCUACGGGAGGCAGCAGUAGGGAAUCUUCCGCAUUGGGCGAAAGCCUGACGGAGCAACGCCGCGUGAGUGAUGAAGGUCUUCGGAUCGUAAAACUCUGUUAUUAGGGAAGAACAUAUGUGUAAGUAACUGUGCACAUCUUGACGGUACCUAAUCAGAAAGCCACGGCUAACUACGUG
rnacentral:rRNA from 1 species